rnacentral:rRNA from 1 species
UGACGUAUCCUGAUUAGACUGCCCCGUCCUGACUAGGUCAUGCAGUCGCGGUAAAUACGUAGGGAGCAGCGAUAUUCCAGGCAUUACUGGAUGUAAUGGGAGUAGUAGGCUGCAUGGUUAGUUAGAAUGUGAACAGCCGGGAGGCUUAAGCAGCGUGAUUGCAUUUAAAACUAUCAAGCUAGAGUACAGGAGAGGUAAGUGGAAUUGCCUAGUGUAGCGGUGAAAUGCGUAGAUAUUAGGGAAGAACACCCAGUGGCGAAGGCGACUUAGCUGGACUGAAAACUGACGCUGAGGGCUCGAGAAGCGUGGGGAGCGAACAGGAUUAGAUACCCUGGUAGUCCACGCCGUAAACGAUGAGUGCUAGGUGUCGGGGGGGAACCCUCGGUGCCGCAGCUAACGCAAUAAGCACUCCACCUGGGGAGUACGAUCGCAAGAUUGAAACUCAAAGGAAUUGACGGGGGCCCGCACAAGCGGUGGAGCAUGUGGUUUAAUUCGAAGCAACGCGAAGAACCUUACCAAGGCUUGACAUCCCUCUGACCGGUGUAGAGAUACACGUUCUCUUCGGAGCAGAGGUGACAGGUGGUGCAUGGUUGUCGUCAGCUCGUGUCGUGAGAUGUUGGGUUAAGUCCCGCAACGAGCGCAACCCCUAUUCUUAGUAGCCAUCAUUCAGUCGGGCACUCUAGGGAGACUGCCGUGGAUAACACGGAGGAAGGGGGGGAAGACGUCAAAUCAUCAUGCCCCUUAUGUCUCGGGCUACACACGUGCUACAAUGGCUGGUAACAAAGAGACGCAAAACGGCGACGUCGAGCAAAUCACAAAAACCCAGUCCCAGUUCGGAUUGUAGUCUGCAACUCGACUACAGAAGCCGGAAUCGCUAGUAAUCGCGAAUCAGAACGUCGCGGAGAAUACGUUCCCGGGCCUGUACACACCGCCCGUCACACCAGGGAGUGGAAGCACCCGAAGUCGGGACCUUCCGUAAGGAAGGAGCCGCCGAAGGGAAGCCACGUCGGGGGAAGUGUACAAGGUGCGAUCGUAAGU